rnacentral:tRNA from 1 species
GGAGGAGUUGGAUAACUGGCUAUUCCGCCGGUCUCGAAAACUGGUGCUUGUAAAGGCUUGUGGGUUCGAGUCCCACCUCCUCCG